UACGGAGGGUGCAAACGUUGCUCGGAAUCAUUGGGCGUAAAGCGCACGUAGGCGGCCGUGUAAGUCGGAUGUGAAAGCCCUGGGCUCAACCCAGGAAGUGCAUUCGAAACUGCACGGCUUGAAUAUGGAAGAGGGUCGCGGAAUUCCCGGUGUAGAGGUGAAAUUCGUAGAUAUCGGGAGGAACACCAGUGGCGAAGGCGGCCAACUGGUCCGAUACUGACGCUGAGGUGCGAAAGCGUGGGGAGCAAACAGG
rnacentral:rRNA from 1 species